rnacentral:rRNA from 1 species
GUCCACGCUGUAAACGAUGAGUACUAGGUGUCGCGGGUAUUGACCCCUGCGGUGCCGCAGCUAACGCAUUAAGUACUCCGCCUGGGGACUACGACCGCAAGGUUAAAACUCAAAGGAAUUGACGGGGGCCCGCACAAGCGGUGGAGCAUGUGGUUCAAUUCGACGCAACGCGAAGAACCUUACCUGGACUAGACAACGGUGGACCGCCUCAGAGAUGAGGUUUUCCCUUCGGGGACCGCCGGUACAGGUGCUGCAUGGCUGUCGU